rnacentral:rRNA from 2 species
GGUUAAGCGACUAAGCGUACACGGUGGAUGCCCUGGCAGUCAGAGGCGAUGAAGGACGUGCUAAUCUGCGAUAAGCGUCGGUAAGGUGAUAUGAACCGUUAUAACCGGCGAUUUCCGAAUGGGGAAACCCAGUGUGUUUCGUCACACUAUCAUUAACUGAAUCCAUAGGUUAAUGAGGCGAACCGGGGGAACUGAAACAUCUAAGUACCCCGAGGAAAAGAAAUCAACCGAGAUUCCCCCAGUAGCGGCGAGCGAACGGGGAGAAGCCCAGAGCCUGAAUCAGUGUGUGUGUUAGUGGAAGCGUCUGGAAAGGCGCGCGAUACAGGGUGACAGCCCCGUACACAAAAAUGCACAUAUUGUGAGCUCGAUGAGUAGGGCGGGACACGUGGUAUCCUGUCUGAAUAUGGGGGGACCAUCCUCCAAGGCUAAAUACUCCUGACUGACCGAUAGUGAACCAGUACCGUGAGGGAAAGGCGAAAAGAACCCCGGCGAGGGGAGUGAAAAAGAACCUGAAACCGUGUACGUACAAGCAGUGGGAGCCUCUUUAUGGGGUGACUGCGUACCUUUUGUAUAAUGGGUCAGCGACUUAUAUUCUGUAGCAAGGUUAACCGAAUAGGGGAGCCGAAGGGAAACCGAGUCUUAACUGGGCGUUAAGUUGCAGGGUAUAGACCCGAAACCCGGUGAUCUAGCCAUGGGCAGGUUGAAGGUUGGGUAACACUAACUGGAGGACCGAACCGACUAAUGUUGAAAAAUUAGCGGAUGACUUGUGGCUGGGGGUGAAAGGCCAAUCAAACCGGGAGAUAGCUGGUUCUCCCCGAAAGCUAUUUAGGUAGCGCCUCGUGAAUUCAUCUCCGGGGGUAGAGCACUGUUUCGGCAAGGGGGUCAUCCCGACUUACCAACCCGAUGCAAACUGCGAAUACCGGAGAAUGUUAUCACGGGAGACACACGGCGGGUGCUAACGUCCGUCGUGAAGAGGGAAACAACCCAGACCGCCAGCUAAGGUCCCAAAGUCAUGGUUAAGUGGGAAACGAUGUGGGAAGGCCCAGACAGCCAGGAUGUUGGCUUAGAAGCAGCCAUCAUUUAAAGAAAGCGUAAUAGCUCACUGGUCGAGUCGGCCUGCGCGGAAGAUGUAACGGGGCUAAACCAUGCACCGAAGCUGCGGCAGCGACGCUUAUGCGUUGUUGGGUAGGGGAGCGUUCUGUAAGCCUGUGAAGGUGUGCUGUGAGGCAUGCUGGAGGUAUCAGAAGUGCGAAUGCUGACAUAAGUAACGAUAAAGCGGGUGAAAAGCCCGCUCGCCGGAAGACCAAGGGUUCCUGUCCAACGUUAAUCGGGGCAGGGUGAGUCGACCCCUAAGGCGAGGCCGAAAGGCGUAGUCGAUGGGAAACAGGUUAAUAUUCCUGUACUUGGUGUUACUGCGAAGGGGGGACGGAGAAGGCUAUGUUGGCCGGGCGACGGUUGUCCCGGUUUAAGCGUGUAGGCUGGUUUUCCAGGCAAAUCCGGAAAAUCAAGGCUGAGGCGUGAUGACGAGGCACUACGGUGCUGAAGCGACAAAUGCCCUGCUUCCAGGAAAAGCCUCUAAGCAUCAGGUAACAUCAAAUCGUACCCCAAACCGACACAGGUGGUCAGGUAGAGAAUACCAAGGCGCUUGAGAGAACUCGGGUGAAGGAACUAGGCAAAAUGGUGCCGUAACUUCGGGAGAAGGCACGCUGAUAUGUAGGUGAAGCGACUUGCUCGUGGAGCUGAAAUCAGUCGAAGAUACCAGCUGGCUGCAACUGUUUAUUAAAAACACAGCACUGUGCAAACACGAAAGUGGACGUAUACGGUGUGACGCCUGCCCGGUGCCGGAAGGUUAAUUGAUGGGGUUAGCGGUAACGCGAAGCUCUUGAUCGAAGCCCCGGUAAACGGCGGCCGUAACUAUAACGGUCCUAAGGUAGCGAAAUUCCUUGUCGGGUAAGUUCCGACCUGCACGAAUGGCGUAAUGAUGGCCAGGCUGUCUCCACCCGAGACUCAGUGAAAUUGAACUCGCUGUGAAGAUGCAGUGUACCCGCGGCAAGACGGAAAGACCCCGUGAACCUUUACUAUAGCUUGACACUGAACAUUGAGCCUUGAUGUGUAGGAUAGGUGGGAGGCUUUGAAGUGUGGACGCCAGUCUGCAUGGAGCCGACCUUGAAAUACCACCCUUUAAUGUUUGAUGUUCUAACGUUGGCCCCUUAUCGGGGUUGCGGACAGUGUCUGGUGGGUAGUUUGACUGGGGCGGUCUCCUCCUAAAGAGUAACGGAGGAGCACGAAGGUUGGCUAAUCCUGGUCGGACAUCAGGAGGUUAGUGCAAUGGCAUAAGCCAGCUUGACUGCGAGCGUGACGGCGCGAGCAGGUGCGAAAGCAGGUCAUAGUGAUCCGGUGGUUCUGAAUGGAAGGGCCAUCGCUCAACGGAUAAAAGGUACUCCGGGGAUAACAGGCUGAUACCGCCCAAGAGUUCAUAUCGACGGCGGUGUUUGGCACCUCGAUGUCGGCUCAUCACAUCCUGGGGCUGAAGUAGGUCCCAAGGGUAUGGCUGUUCGCCAUUUAAAGUGGUACGCGAGCUGGGUUUAGAACGUCGUGAGACAGUUCGGUCCCUAUCUGCCGUGGGCGCUGGAGAACUGAGGGGGGCUGCUCCUAGUACGAGAGGACCGGAGUGGACGCAUCACUGGUGUUCGGGUUGUCAUGCCAAUGGCACUGCCCGGUAGCUAAAUGCGGAAGAGAUAAGUGCUGAAAGCAUCUAAGCACGAAACUUGCCCCGAGAUGAGUUCUCCCUGACCCUUUAAGGGUCCUGAAGGAACGUUGAAGACGACGACGUUGAUAGGCCGGGUGUGUAAGCGCAGCGAUGCGUUGAGCUAACCGGUACUAAUGAACCGUGAGGCUUAACCUU